rnacentral:rRNA from 1 species
GUGGAUUAGUGGCGAACGGGUGAGUAACACGUGGGCAAUCUGCCCUUCACUCUGGGACAAGCCCUGGAAACGGGGUCUAAUACCGGAUAACACUCUGUCCUGCAUGGGACGGGGUUAAAAGCUCCGGCGGUGAAGGAUGAGCCCGCGGCCUAUCAGCUUGUUGGUGGGGUAAUGGCCUACCAAGGCGACGACGGGUAGCCGGCCUGAGAGGGCGACCGGCCACACUGGGACUGAGACACGGCCCAGACUCCUACGGGAGGCAGCAGUGGGGAAUAUUGCACAAUGGGCGAAAGCCUGAUGCAGCGACGCCGCGUGAGGGAUGACGGCCUUCGGGUUGUAAACCUCUUUCAGCAGGGAAGAAGCGCAAGUGACGGUACCUGCAGAAGAAGCACCGGCUAACUACGUGCCAGCAGCCGCGGUAAUACGUAGGGUGCGAGCGUUGUCCGGAAUUAUUGGGCGUAAAGAGCUCGUAGGCGGCUUGUCACGUCGGAUGUGAAAGCUCGGGGCUUAACCCCGAGUCUGCAUUCGAUACGGGCUAGCUAGAGUGUGGUAGGGGAGAUCGGAAUUCCUGGUGUAGCGGUGAAAUGCGCAGAUAUCAGGAGGAACACCGGUGGCGAAGGCGGAUCUCUGGGCCAUUACUGACGCUGAGGAGCGAAAGCGUGGGGAGCGAACAGGAUUAGAUACCCUGGUAGUCCACGCCGUAAACGUUGGGAACUAGGUGUUGGCGACAUUCCACGUCGUCGGUGCCGCA